rnacentral:rRNA from 1 species
CCCUUAGACGUUCUGGGCCGCACGCGCGCUACACUGAUGCAUUCAACGAGCCUAUCCUUGACCGACAGGUCCGGGUAAUCUUUGAAUCUGCAUCGUGACGGGGAUAGAUUAUUGCAAUUAUUAAUCUUCAACGAGGAAUGCCUAGUAGGCGCAAGUCAUCAGCUUGCGUCGAUUACGUCCCUGCCCUUUGUACACACCGCCCGUCGCUCCUACCGAUUGGGUGUGCUGGUGAAAUGUUCGGAUCGGCCGUUUGUCGCGGUUUCCGCGUCAUGUGGCUGAGAAGUUCAUUAAACCCUCCCACCUAGAGGAAGGAGAAGUCGUAACA